rnacentral:rRNA from 1 species
UACGGAGGGGGCUAGCGUUGUUCGGAAUUACUGGGCGUAAAGCGCACGUAGGCGGCUUUGUAAGUUAGAGGUGAAAGCCCGGGGCUCAACUCCGGAAUUGCCUUUAAGACUGCAUCGCUAGAAUUGUGGAGAGGUAAGUGGAAUUCCCAGUGUAGAGGUGAAAUUCGUAGAUAUUGGGAAGAACACCGGUGGCGAAGGCGGCGACCUGGUCCGAGACUGACGCUGAGGCGCGAAAGCGUGGGGAGCAAACAGG